rnacentral:rRNA from 1 species
GACGAACGCUGGCGGCGUGCCUAAUACAUGCAAGUCGAACGCAUUUUCUUUCACCGUAGCUUGCUACACCGAAAGAAAAUGAGUGGCGAACGGGUGAGUAACACGUGGGUAACCUGCCCAUCAGCGGGGGAUAACACUCGGAAACAGGUGCUAAUACCGCAUAAUUCCAUUUACUGCAUGGUAGAUGGAUGAAAGGCGCUUUUGCGUCACUGAUGGAUGGACCCGCGGUGCAUUAGCUAGUUGGUGGGGUAACGGCCUACCAAGGCUGCGAUGCAUAGCCGACCUGAGAGGGUGAUCGGCCACACUGGGACUGAGACACGGCCCAGACUCCUACGGGAGGCAGCAGUAGGGAAUCUUCGGCAAUGGACGCAAGUCUGACCGAGCAACGCCGCGUGAGUGAAGAAGGUUUUCGGAUCGUAAAACUCUGUUGUUAGAAAAGAACAAGGAUGAGAGUGGAAAGUUCAUCCCUUGACGGUAUCUAACCAGAAAGCCACGGCUAACUACGUG